rnacentral:rRNA from 1 species
AAACCCAGUGUGAUUUGUCACACUAUCAUUAACUGAAUCCAUAGGUUAAUGAGGCGAACCGGGGGAACUGAAACAUCUAAGUACCCCGAGGAAAAGAAAUCAACCGAGAUUCCCCCAGUAGCGGCGAGCGAACGGGGAGGAGCCCAGAGCCUGAAUCAGCAUGUGUGUUAGUGGAAGCGUCUGGAAAGGCGCGCGAUACAGGGUGACAGCCCCGUACACAAAAGCGCACGUGCUGUGAGCUCGAUGAGUAGGGCGGGACACGUGGUAUCCUGUCUGAAUAUGGGGGGACCAUCCUCCAAGGCUAAAUACUCCUGACUGACCGAUAGUGAACCAGUACCGUGAGGGAAAGGCGAAAAGAACCCCGGCGAGGGGAGUGAAACAGAACCUGAAACCGUGUACGUAC